rnacentral:rRNA from 1 species
AGGACGAACGCUGGCGGCGUGCUUAACACAUGCAAGUCGAACGAAGUCCAUCCGGUAGCAAUACCGGUGAAGGCUUAGUGGCGAACGGGUGAGUAACACGUGAGCAACCUGCCCCGAAGACCGGGAUAACAGCGGGAAACCGCUGCUAAUACCGGAUGUCCCCACCGGACCGCAUGGUCUGGUGAGGAAAGCCUUUACGCUUCGGGAGGGACUCGCGGCCUAUCAGCUUGUUGGUGAGGUAACGGCCCACCAAGGCGACGACGGGUAGCUGGUCUGAGAGGACGAUCAGCCACACUGGGACUGAGACACGGCCCAGACUCCUACGGGAGGCAGCAGUGGGGAAUCUUGCGCAAUGGGCGAAAGCCUGACGCAGCAACGCCGCGUGCGGGAUGAAGGCCUUCGGGUUGUAAACCGCUUUCAAGCGAGGGACGAUAAUGACGGUACCUGCAGAAGAAGCUCCGGCCAACUACGUGCCAGCAGCCGC